rnacentral:lncRNA from 1 species
UGUAGCCAAGGUUUAUCGGCUAGACGUCCUGUCUCCCCAUUCUGCUUGAAGGCUGCCAGUCACAGGUCACAUGACCUGGAAGAAAAAACCUAGGAGAUUUUUGGGAUCCCUCUUCGCAUGGGCUGGCUAUCAACCUGAAGGGAAGUCCAAAGGCUGAAAGGCUGCACUGAUCUGUGUCUGGGUGAGACCACACUGCACUGGUGUCCUAUAUGCCCUGGAAACACAACACCCAAUAUAAUUCUGGUAAGUAAUGAACCUAAAACGAUGGGACAAAUUAAUGUGAUCCACUGAUUUCCAUUACACAAGCAGGUGUCCUCGUUUUGACGUUGUAGAAUGGAUGACAUGAA